CGGAAUGACUGGGCGUAAAGGGCGCGUAGGCGGCGCAUUUAGUCAGGCGUGAAAUUCCUGGGCUCAACCUGGGGACUGCGCUUGAGACGGGUGUGCUAAAGGGCAGGAGAGGCUCGCGGAAUUCCCAGUGUAGAGGUGAAAUUCGUAGAUAUUGGGAAGAACACCGGUGGCGAAGGCGGCGAGCUGGCCUGUGACUGACGCUGAGGCGCGACAGCGUGGGGAGCAAACAGG
rnacentral:rRNA from 1 species